rnacentral:rRNA from 1 species
UACGUAGGGUGCAAGCGUUAAUCGGAAUUACUGGGCGUAAAGCGUGCGCAGGCGGUUAUGUAAGACAGGUGUGAAAUCCCCGGGCUUAACCUGGGAACUGCAUUUGUGACUGCAUAGCUAGAGUACGGUAGAGGGGGAUGGAAUUCCGCGUGUAGCAGUGAAAUGCGUAGAUAUGCGGAGGAACACCGAUGGCGAAGGCAAUCCCCUGGACCUGUACUGACGCUCAUGCGACGAAAGCG